rnacentral:SRP_RNA from 1 species
GGCGGGCCUCCCCGCACUGCGGCAUGGUGAACCUGGUCAGGUCCGGAAGGAAGCAGCCACAGCUAUUCACCGCAGGUGCCGGGGGUAAGGCUCGCCACC